UAUACAUAUGCAGCUGUUUGAGUUAUUUGUAUUUGUUUUUGUUCUAAUGCUUCUUGCUUAAUAUUUCUUUAUUGCAGUCUCCUAGGUUUACAAGCUGCAAGGUGGAUAAGUUUAUCCCUAUGGGAUGUCAUGAGGCUGCUUCUGUGAUGAAAGGUUCAGUGUUAGCUUUUAUGUUCUCCACAGGGAAGGUUAUUGGAGGUUUCUACUUAAUGAGCAUUGAUUUUCUCAGGUUUCAGGCGGCAAAACCAUCAGUUCUUAAGUAAGCUAAUGGACUGAGCAUUGGUGACACAGUUGGAGCACGGAAAUGCAACAGAUUUCCAAGUGGAUAGACAACAGAUAUGACUUCACCCUCCACUUGGACCUCAAUGUGUUUCAUUUCUCGGGAGUGAUGUUGGAUUCGUGUGAUGCUGAAUUUGAUUUGGGACUGGAAGGCCUUGGAGGCCGAGAAGGAAGGCGCCUCCGUAAAUGGCCGCGGAGAAAAAUGAUGUCGCCACUGAUGAUAAGCUGGAGGCUUGCAAUUAUUCAGUAUAAAAUAAAACAUGGAUUUUUCUGGUGAGAUUAUAGAAAUCUUAAAGAUUAACUUUCUUAUCCACACAAGUCUAUUUCUGAACCAAUACAUGCAAGAAAAAAUGAAGGCAAACAAACAACAUCGGUACUAAGUGUAGACGGAGAAGAUGUUCAGGUUCAAGGAGGGCAUGUGGGAGAAGCACAGAACACAACGCAGACGCAUGCAUACUUAUGCUCCAUACCAGGGUUCUUGUACAUCACUAAGCACUAAGAAGUACUGCAACUUCAAGUGCAUCUGCUACUUUGGUUUGGUCAUCUAAACACAACCUGCUACGAAGUGGUUAAUCUGAACAAGAGUAUUCUGCAGGAGAAGAAUUCUAGCUUGGAUAGGCAGCUGGAAGAUGCUAAGACUAAUAUGCAAGAGGAGAUCAUUCUGUUACAAGGAUAGAAGGAACAUGCCCUUUAUUGUUUACACAAGUCAAAUGCUUCAGUCAGGAGUCUUGAGUGUGAGUUAGAGCAGCAAAGAGAAAACAACUAUAUCUCUGACCUGAAGAAAGGGUCUGAAGAUGCCAUGGUUAGUUUCCAUGAUGAAAUUGUAGCAAUUCAAGACAAGAAGAAUAAAACCCUCUCAGAGUUGCAGCAGUCUGUGGUUUCCCUUGAGAAUCUUAGAAUUUAAAAGCAGAUUUCUGAUGAAGACAUGAAGAAUAGCAAUGCUAGCUUGACCAAGCGAUGGGAGGAAUUAAGAGCAGCUUGCUUGAGGAAACUGUAACACAACGUGAAGAGAGGGAGCUCUGUCAGAGUUGAGUUACAACAGUCUCACGCUUCCACCAGGAACCUUGAGACAAAGGUAGAAAAGCAAAUUGCGAGUAUUUUAGUCUACAACAAUCUAAUGAUGACUUGCUGAAGAGCAUUUGUGGCCUGACCCAACAGUUUGGAAAAUCCAAGGUUGAGUUGCAGAAGGAGAUUAAAGUGACACAAGAAGAAAGAUAAUGUAUUAACCCAACUAAAACAGUCAGAGUUGUCCUCCGACGUAGCCUCCGAAGACCAUUUGUAGAUAAUGCUUUUGUUGUUCCUUUCUUAUUUCUGUUGCUCUUGACAUAGCCAUUGAGUGUUUGCUACUAUAUAAUAUAUAUCCCGUUUCUA